GACGAACGCUGGCGGCGUGCUUAACACAUGCAAGUCGAACGGAAAGGCCCUGCUUGCAUGGUACUCGAGUGGCGAACGGGUGAGUAACACGUGGGUGAUCUGCCCUGCACUUCGGGAUAAGCCUGGGAAACUGGGUCUAAUACCGGAUAGGAGCCAUUUUUAGUGUGAUGGUUGGAAAGUUUUUUCGGUGUAGGAUGAGCUCGCGGCCUAUCAGCUUGUUGGUGGGGUAAUGGCCUACCAAGGCGGCGACGGGUAGCCGGCCUGAGAGGGUGGACGGCGACACUGGGACUGAGAUGCGGCCCAGACUCCUACGGGAGGAAGCAGUGGGGAAUAUUGCACAAUGGGCGCAAGCCUGAUGCAGCGACGCCGCGUGGGGGAUGACGGCCUUCGGGUUGUAAACUCCUUUCGCUAGGGACGAAGCUUUUUGUGACGGUACCUAGAUAAGAAGCACCGGCUAACUACGUG
rnacentral:rRNA from 1 species